UAAUUAUUUAUCACAUGCAAGUCACAUGCUGGGUAUUUUUGUAAUUCUCCUCCACUUUAAAUCUAAUUUCUAUUAUGAUCUUCAAGAACCAUCAUCAUUUGCAUCUUUUUAUCCUUCCCCUCUUCACUUUCUUAAAACCCUAGCCCCAACUUCCGUAUUUUUUUUCAACAACACACACCUUACUCCACCAAAAACCUUUACUCCACCAAAUUUUGCCGGCGUCUCAUCUCAUCUCUCAUGGCGUCCCCGCCGCCAACCGUUCGAUGAAAUGUCUGAAUGGUUUCACAAGCUGAAGUUUGGUUUAACCUUAACCGUUGAUGCCUACAACGCCUCUAGCAAGAAUUAUCUUGCUUAAUUUGACUGCUUCAGUGCAAAAUUCGUAAACCCCCAAUCUGAAACUGAAAUGUGGGUUUUGGUCAGGGAUGAUGAUGAUGGUCGAAGGUGGUUAUGUUCUUGAAGAUCUGGGUUUGAAGAUGAUGAUAUGUUCUUGAAGAUCUGGGUUAGAAGAUGAUGAUGUGGAGAUGAUAGAAAUUAGAUUUAAAAGGGAUGAGAAAUUACAAAAAUACCCAUCAUGUGACUUGCGUGUGAUAAAUAAUUAACUAGGAUAAGGGAUGGAGUUAGACUCAGGGGCCAAAAUAGUUAGUUAUAGAGACUAUGAAGACACAGAUGUUAAAAAAUCUUAUUUUGGGCUAAUAUAGUAAAAAUGAUAUAAUCACAUAGGCCAAACUCAUAAGUUACUCUAUUAAUUAAAAUCAUCUAAACUGAUAUUAGUGUUUAAAAGAAAUUCCCUUGUAUUAAUUAUCAAAAUCUACUUCCUCACAUAUUUACUAUUCC